rnacentral:rRNA from 1 species
AUUGAACGCUGGCGGCGUGCCUAAUACAUGCAAGUCGAACGGAGUGGCGCACGGGUGAGUAAUAUAUAGCUAAUCUGCCCCUUGCUGGAGGACAAACGUUAGAAAUGACUGCUAAUACUCCAUAGCAAGGGAUGAGACUAUAUCGUAUCAGCUAGUCGGUGGGGUAACGGCCGACCGAGGCUAUGACGCGUAACUGGUCUGAGAGGAUGAUCAGUCACAUUGGAACUGAGACACGGUCCAGACUCCUACGGGAGGCAGCAGUAGGGAAUAAUGCGCAAGGGGGGAAACCCUGACGCAGCAACGCCGCGUGGAGGAUGACACUUGUCGGAGCGUAAACUCCUGUUGUUAGGGAAGCGGUACCUAACGAAUAAGCACCGGCUAACUCCGUGCCAGCAGCCGCGGUAAUUC